AGUGUUAUCCGGAAUCACUGGGCGUAAAGCGUCUGUAGGUGGUUUAGUAAGUCAACUGUUAAAUCUUGAAGCUCAACUUCAAAAUCGCAGUCGAAACUAUUAGACUAGAGUAUAGUAGGGGUAAAGGGAAUUUCCAGUGGAGCGGUGAAAUGCGUAGAGAUUGGAAAGAACACCGAUGGCGAAGGCACUUUACUGGGCUAUUACUGACACUCAGAGACGAAAGCUAGGGUAGCAAAUGGGAUUAGAUACCCCAGUAGUCUUAGCUGUAAACAAUGGAUACUAGAUGUUGGGCAGAUCGACCUGUUCAGUAUUAAAGCUAACGCGUUAAGUAUCCCGCCUGGGAAGUAUGCGCGCAAGCGUGAAACUCAAAGGAAUUGACGGG
rnacentral:rRNA from 1 species